CAAGACCAAAAAUUUGAAGCAUGUGCAAAUGAUUUGUAUGUGGAAGGACUACCAGAAAACAUUCCUUUCAGAAGUCCCUCAUGAUACUGAAUUCCAAGGCUGGAAAACAUCAGCAUGAACUUAUUAAUUCUACACGUGAAGAUUCACAACUUGAUAAACCAGCUUCAGGGGGAUAUUGAAAAACAAAGUUUAAUCUUUGAAGAUCUUUUUUAAGACCAAAAAUUUGAAGGACAUGUAAAUGAUCUGUGUGUUGAAGAACUACUAGAAAACAUUCCUUUCAGAAGUCCCUCAUGAUAGGGAAUCCCAAGGCUGGAAAACAUCAUUCAAGUGGGCAAUCAAAUUAAAUUUGUUAU